GGCAACGUGGCCGAGUGGUCUAAGGCGUUUGACUUGAAUCAACUUGAUAUCUAAUCAUCUUGAGAGCCAAUCAAAUCUCUUCGGAGGCGCAUGUUCGAACCAUGCCGUUGUCG